rnacentral:rRNA from 1 species
GAUGAACGCUAGCGACAGGCCUAACACAUGCAAGUCGAGGGGCAGCGGGAGCGAAGCUUGCUUUGCUUGCCGGCGACCGGCGCACGGGUGAGUAACACGUAUCCAACCUGCCCUUUACUCGGGGAUAGCCUUUCGAAAGAACGAUUAAUACCCGAUGGCAUAAUGAUUCCGCAUGGUUUCAUUAUUAAAGGAUUCCGGUAAAGGAUGGGGAUGCGUUCCAUUAGGUUGUUGGUGAGGUAACGGCCCACCAAGCCUUCGAUGGAUAGGGGUUCUGAGAGGAAGGUCCCCCCACAUUGGAACUGAGACACGGUCCAAACUCCUACGGGAGGCAGCAGUGAGGAAUAUUGGUCAAUGGGCGUUAGCCUGAACCAGCCAAGUAGCGUGAAGGAUGAAGGCUCUAUGGGUCGUAAACUUCUUUUAUAUAAGAAUAAAGUGCAGUAUGUAUACUGUUUUGUAUGUAUUAUAUGAAUAA